ensembl:lncRNA
UUCAAAUUAAGCAGCACAGAAACCGGAAAAGCUGGUCGCGGAUCAGGCCACAUCGUCAAACACUUAGUCACGCGCUAGUGAUUUCAGCCUAGCAUGAGGAGAUAUCAGUGCCAAAGAAUUCAUUUAUUUCUCCGUAUCUUUUUUUAUGAGCUCCUGUGUUUCAAGGAUGGCAUCAGCUCAGGGUGUGUUUCUUGUCUGUGAGGAUCUCUGGACGGAUGGACCUGCGGGUUUGAUCUGCCUGGAUCAGCCACAUACUGUUUGACAGCGCAGUUUUUCUUGACGUUAGCUGUUGGGACGGCUUUGAUGCAGGAAGGGUGGACUGUCGCUGGGAGUUUGGAGUGUGUUCAGUGAGUUAUUUCUAUAGACAGGACAGUGAGGAGAGCGCCUGAGGAGCAUGCACACACACACAAGUAGAGUGCUGCUGGGACCAACGCUUUUCCCCAGACGCUCCACAUGGACACAGUAAAGAAGAGGUCGUGGCUAUAUUCGGCAAGGUCAUCAAAGAGCCUGGAGUCAGCGCUCAUCAUCAUCAUCAUCAUCAUCAUCAUCAUGCUGUUUGGUUCAGUUCAGCUGUCCUUGACCCCUCUGCUCUCUUUUCUGGAAGUUUCUGUGAUUUGCUGCGCCGUGCGGUUCAUCGAAUCCCUCAGAGAGCCUUUCACCUGUCUCCUAACAGCUCCCAGAAUGCAGCGCUGUGCAGGACGACACACGCCUGGCAAUUAGUGGAAUGGAAACUGGAGUGCUCUUCUGAGAGCUGAAAUAAUUGGAUGUUAGACACUUGUUGAUGGAGGGCAGCAGAUUCUGGAUUUAGAAGAAAACCUUUAUCGAGUCCCACCGCCCUUGAAACGGAUGACAUCGAUUGGACAGCCAGAAGAUUCCCGACCCCUCCUGCCCUGGAGGACGAUCAAUGGACCCGCGGGCCGCUCCCGGAACAUCAGCAGAGGAUUAAACAAUCUCCCAGCACAACACAAUUAACUCCACAACACCUCACAUCAAUAUUUAAGAGCAAACUACAGAUAGCACAGAGAAAAAAAAUGCUUCGAAUUUUGUAUAUCGCAUGGCAAUAUUAAAGCAAUAGUUCACCCAAAAAUUACAAUUUGCUGGAAAUCUGCUCACUAUCAGGCCAUCCAAGAUGUAGAUGAGUUUGUUUCUUCAUCAGAACAGAUUUGGAUCCAUUGAAGUGAAUAGGUGCCGUCAGAAUCUGAAUGUUUAAACAUUCAGAUGUCACCCCCUUUCUAAUCAUUAACUUUCAUAUUUAACUGUAGUUUAAUUACA